GUACUAAGUGCGGUGAUGAUGCCGUGCGUCAUGAAAAUUAAAAAGCUUGCCACACUUAAAGGUCUGAAACUAUCCAAGUGGUGUGGUGUGUAGUUUUUCAUGGAUGUAAUAUUUUUUGAAAAGCAUCCUCCUAUUGUAAGCUAAAACUGAAAGCUGAAUAAAAUAAUUUGUAAGGACCAUCUACCAACAAGCAUCAAUUAGAAGUGACUAAUUUUUCCCCCUCUGCUGUUGCAGCGAAUCAGAAAAAAGCUGAAGAGUCUUGGCGCCAAUACAAUAUUUUAGAACGAAGCAAAAUUAUUGACUUUUUUGUCGGUCAGAUGAAAUCUAGUCUGAAAUGCACUGUCUGCGACAAGUGCUCGAACACCUAUGAAAUUUUUGGGAUGUUUCCCUACCAUUACCUGAAUUGAGUAGCCGGACCACUUUACGAGAUUGCCUCACUGAAUUCACAAAAGAAGAAGUUCUAGAUGGGAAAAAUAUGCCGGUAUGCGCUGGCUGCAAGAAACCAAGGAAAUGUACAAAGAGAUUCCAAUUCCAAAAACUACCCAAAAUAUUAGUACUUCACUUGAAACGAUUCACAAGCUAUACCUCUCCCACUUCAUCGUACCUGUCGAGUCGGUGGACGAGAUCUUCUGUCAACGUCGAUUUUCCUAUGAAUCUUGACAUGACUGAAUUCGCAUCAACCAGGGAACUGAGUGCUAUCAAAUAUUCUUUGUACGGGUUUUCUGCCACUCAGGAACACUCGAUGCUGGUCACUAUGUAGCCUACUGUAAAAACAUUCGCACUGAUGAAUGGUUUGAAUUCAACGACUCAGAGUAAGUUCAUCUUUUGUCAAUAUAGUCACUAAUUCUAAUUCUAAUUGAACACCAGGCUAUGACAAUAUUUAUUUCUUGCUAUCGCCUAACCCAAGACUUACAAAAACCAAGCUAACUUUGAUAAUUUGUCAGUACGUAUGGCCUGAUGUUUUUCUGUAACUGUACGCAAGUUCUCGGAAGGACUUCGUCCUAUGAUCAUCCGGGAAAUCAGUUUUUGGCGCGAUGACUUAUUAAUAAUUUAAUUUUGACCGGCAAUCUUGCUUCCAAAAUUUCCAAGAAUGUUUCAAGAUCACCGAGCAUAUUUUUGGAUAUCUCUUCCAGCAGUAAUGAUAAGAGGGACAACUUUAAAAAGUAACAUGAGGAGCUAGGAAGCCGAAGGAAAAAUUUAGUCAUUACGCGGAAUAAACAAAAAUAUGAACAAAAUCUUAAAUCUCUCCCUCUCCUUGCUGAUCAUGGCCUAAGAUCAUAACAGUCGUGUUCUACAGGGUGUCCCAGGAUUAAGUACAAAUAUUGAAGGAAUCUAUUCUUUGAGUAAAAAAAAGAAGUUUUUGUGGUUUAACUUUUUUUCCAAAAAUGCUUUCUCUGGGGGCCCCAUUACCCCCCUAUUAUCUUGAAAAGAUGAGUCAUGGUGAAAAAACACAAGAUACAUUUUCUCAAUAUUUUUUCCACGCUGAUUCUAGUGUUGCCAUCAAAAAUCAAUUUUUGUCGCCAGAAACAUAAUUUUGGCCUUAAAUGCAAAGAGUGCAAAAAUUACCCCUAAUUAUCAACUUUCAUCAAUAUUGGUUAACAAACAUGGUCACAGUGUUAAAAAGACGAUUUUUUUUCUCACCUUUGAAGGGUCAUUGCCUCUGGGCAAAGCGUCUUUGGAAAUAAGUUAUACCACUAAAACGUCUUUUUUUUUACCGAAAGAGUCGACUCCUUCAAUAUUUUUACUUAAUCCCGGGACACCCUGUAUAUUUUCCAUUAAGUAAUUAUCACAUUGUCAAGUUGAAAAAAAAAUAAAUGUCAAAAAACGUGUCUACUUUAGCUGGAAGGUUUUUUAAGCUCAUUUUUGUACAUCAAAGAAAGUAAUUUCAGUGGUGUGAGGAAGUUUGACCCGUUUUUGGCGUAAUUUUAGAGUCAUUUUUUUCUUUGGCUCCUUUUACAAUUCGUGAAAUGUUCCUUUACUACCGCGCACUCGUUUUCUUAUGUAUUUCUGGUCAACUUUGUGCUGAACACAUUGAUCUAAGUGAUUUCUUUGAGGUGCGAAAGUGGUUCACCUUAAAAACCUUGUAUUUAACUGAACUUGCAGCUCUCCUUACUAUUAAGUGCCAGGUUUUUAAAAAAAUUUCUUUCAGCCAAUCGAUUAAGGAG
rnacentral:lncRNA from 1 species